rnacentral:rRNA from 1 species
AGUGAACGCUGGCGGUAGGCCUAACACAUGCAGGUCGAACGGCAGCACAGUAAGGGCUUGCUCUUACGGGUGGCGAGUGGCGGACGGGUGAGGAAUACAUCGGAAUCUACUUUUUCGUGGGGGAUAACGUAGGGAAACUUACGCUAAUACCGCAUACGACCUACGGGUGAAAGCAGGGGAUCUUCGGACCUUGCGCGAUUGAAUGAGCCGAUGUCGGAUUAGCUAGUUGGCGGGGUAAAGGCCCACCAAGGCGACGAUACGUAGCUGGUCUGAGAGGAUGAUCAGCCACACUGGAACUGAGACACGGUCCAGACUCCUACGGGAGGCAGCAGUGGGGAAUAUUGAACAAAGGGCGCAAGCCUGAUCCAGCCAUGCCGCGUGGGUGAAGAAGGCCUUCGGGUUCUAAAGCCCUUUUGUUGGGAAAGAAAAGCAGCAGGUUAAUACCCCGCUGUUCUGACGGUACCCAAAGAAUAAGCACCGGCUAACUUCGUG